UACGUAGGGUGCGAGCGUUAAUCGGAAUUACUGGGCGUAAAGCGUGCGCAGGCGGUUCGUUAAGACAGAUGUGAAAUCCCCGGGCUUAACCUGGGAACUGCAUUUGUGACUGGCGAGCUAGAGUAUGGCAGAGGGGGGUAGAAUUCCGCGUGUAGCAGUGAAAUGCGUAGAUAUGCGGAGGAACACCGAUGGCGAAGGCAAUCCCCUGGACCUGUACUGACGCUCAUGCACGAAAGCGUGGGGAGCAAACAGG
rnacentral:rRNA from 1 species